rnacentral:rRNA from 1 species
GAUGAACGCUGGCGGCGUGCCUAAUACAUGCAAGUCGAGCGAACGGACGAGAAGCUUGCUUCUCUGAUGUUAGCGGCGGACGGGUGAGUAACACGUGGAUAACCUACCUAUAGGACUGGGAUAACUUCGGGAAACCGGAGCUAAUACCGGAUAAUAUUUUGAACCGCAUGGUUCAAAAGUGAAAGACGGUCUUGCUGUCACUUAUAGAUGGAUCCGCGCUGCAUUAGCUAGUUGGUAAGGUAACGGCUUACCAAGGCAACGAUGCAUAGCCGACCUGAGAGGGGGAUCGGCCACACGGGAACGGAGACACGGUCCAGACUCCUACGGGAGGCAGCAGUAGGGAAUCUUCCGCAAUGGGCGAAAGCCGGACGGAGCAACGCCGCGGGAGUGAGGAAGGUCUUCGGAUCGUAAAACUCUGUUAUUAGGGAAGAACAUAUGUGUAAGUAACGGUGCACAUCUGGACGGUACUUAAGCAGAAAGCCACGGCUAACUACGU